ensembl:lncRNA
GAUUAAGCAAUGCUGAAUGCUUUGUAACUUAUGUGACGCGACUCCCAGGAGCUCUGAGCUGGAGCUAUAUAAGAGAUACUAAAGGACAGAAGCAAGUGCUUGUGUGUGCGUUCAAAUGGCUAAGCUCUAUAGUUAGCGCUAUGCCAAGCAGAUAGAGGCCUGACAGAGGGAGAUAAGCAGUCUGAGUGUGAAUGCUCUGGUCAGGAUGGGUCGACUUCGCUCCACCUUUUGUUGAUUUUCACACUGCUCCAGUGACCUCAGAGGUGAGUAUGUUUACUGCGGCCCAGUCUCAAUCUCCCUCAAACAGACUCACCGGUGACCUUCAGCAACUCUGAGGCAGUCCAAACCUCUUGAACCUAUUCUGCCUUGUCCUUUGUGUGCUCUGGUCAGAAGUCUACAGUUGUGCUCUCUUUUCGAAGUAUUUUACAAUCAAAAUGAACACUGUUGUACAUCUGUAAUCAAGCAGACUCUGUUGUAUCUUUCAUUCCCUGGACAUCCUGGACAUCCUGAACUUCCGAGGAACCGUUUAGGAUUAGAACACAAAACUUUUACCCAGGCAACCUUUCACCGGUGGAAGAGUGAAAAAUGCUUGUUAAUUGGAGAACACUGGCUUAAUGAAGCAAGCUGGCAUUUGAGCUUGUGAAUUUCAUGUCUGAUGGUGGAAACAAAAACUAGGCAGAGUGAAAAAAGUCUAUAGGCUUUUCAAUAAAAGAAGGAUGUUUCGUCUUCA